rnacentral:rRNA from 1 species
UGCAAGUCGAACGGCAGCNCGGGAGCAAUCCUGGUGGCGAGUGGCGAACGGGUGAGUAAUAUAUCGGAACGUGCCCGGUCGUGGGGGAUAACGUAGCGAAAGCUACGCUAAUACCGCAUACGAUCUACGGAUGAAAGCGGGGGAUCGCAAGACCUCGCGCGAUUGGAGCGGCCGAUAUCAGAUUAGGUAGUUGGUGAGGUAAAGGCUCACCAAGCCGACGAUCUGUAGCUGGUCUGGGAGGACGACCAGCCACACUGGGACUGAGACACGGCCCAGACUCCUACGGGAGGCAGCAGUGGGGAAUUUUGGACAAUGGGCGCAAGCCUGAUCCAGCAAUGCCGCGUGCAGGAUGAAGGCCUUCGGGUUGUAAACUGCUUUUGUACGGAACGAAACGGUGAGCUCUAAUACAGUUUGCUAAUGACGGUACCGUAAGAAUAAGCACCGGCUAACUACGUG